rnacentral:rRNA from 1 species
GCUGGCGGCAUGCCUUACACAUGCAAGUCGAACGGCAGCGCGGGGGCAACCCUGGCGGCGAGUGGCGAACGGGUGAGUAAUAUAUCGGAACGUGCCCACAAGUGGGGGAUAACCAGUCGAAAGACUGGCUAAUACCGCAUACGCUCUGUGGAGGAAAGUGGGGGCUUCGCAAGAACCUCAUGCUGGUGGAGCGGCCGAUAUCUGAUUAGCUAGUUGGUGGGGUAAAAGCCUACCAAGGCGACGAUCAGUAGCUGGUCUGAGAGGACGACCAGCCACACUGGGACUGAGACACGGCCCAGACUCCUACGGGAGGCAGCAGUGGGGAAUUUUGGACAAUGGGGGCAACCCUGAUCCAGCAAUGCCGCGUGUGUGAAGAAGGCCUUCGGGUUGUAAAGCACUUUUGUCCGGAAAGAAAUCUCAUCUGCUAAUACCGGGUGAGGAUGACGGUACCGGAAGAAUCAGCACCGGCUAACUACGUGCCAGCAGCCGCGGUAAUACGUAGGGUGCAAGCGUUAAUCGGAAUUACUGGGCGUAAAGCGUGCGCAGGCGGUUGUGCAAGACAGAGGUGAAAUCCCCGGGCUUAACCUGGGAAUGGCCUUUGUGACUGCACGGCUAGAGUGUGUCA